CUCUGCUUCAAUAUUUGGAAUUCAUGUUAGCUCCACACCUAUCAUUCUCGCCUACUCAGAGAUUUCUGUGGCAACUGGCCAGUUGAAGAAAUAUUAUCAGCCAAGAAAGAGUCUCCGAAC